UGAAUGCACUAACUGUAAGUCGUUCUGGAUAAGAGCGUCUGCUAAAUGACUAAAA
rfam:Salmo salar isolate Sally breed double haploid chromosome ssa04, whole genome shotgun sequence.